UGGAAUAUGGCUCAGCCGGUAGAGCACUUGUCUAGCAUGCAAGAAGCCCUGGGUUCGAUCCCCAGUGCUGCAU